AGUGAACGCUGGCGGUAGGCCUAACACAUGCAAGUCGAACGGCAGCACAGUAAGAGCUUGCUCUUACGGGUGGCGAGUGGCGGACGGGUGAGGAAUACAUCGGAAUCUACUUUUUCGUGGGGGAUAAUGUAGGGAAACUUACGCUAAUACCGCAUACGACCUACGGGUGAAAGCAGGGGAUCUUCGGACCUUGCGCGAUUGAAUGAGCCGAUGUCGGAUUAGCUAGUUGGCGGGGUAAAGGCCCACCAAGGCGACGAUCCGUAGCUGGUCUGAGAGGAGGGUCAGCCACACUGGAACUGAGACACGGUCCAGACUCCUACGGGAGGCGGCAGUGGGGAAUAUUGGACAAUGGGCGCAAGCCUGAUCCAGCCAUACCGCGUGGGUGAAGAAGGCCUUCGGGUUGUAAAGCCCUUUUGUUGGGAAAGAAAAGCAGCAGGUUAAUACCCCGCUGUUCUGACGGUACCCAAAGAAUAAGCACCGGCUAACUUCGUG
rnacentral:rRNA from 1 species